GAUGAAUGCUGGCGGCGUGCUUAACACAUGCAAGUCGAACGGAAAGGCCCAAGCUUGCUUGGGUACUCGAGUGGCGAACGGGUGAGUAACACGUGGGUGAUCUGCCCUGCACUUCGGGAUAAGCCUGGGAAACUGGGUCUAAUACCGGAUAGGACGAUGGUUUGGAUGCCAUUGUGGAAAGUUUUUUCGGUGUGGGAUGAGCUCGCGGCCUAUCAGCUUGUUGGUGGGGUAAUGGCCUACCAAGGCGUCGACGGGUAGCCGGCCUGAGAGGGUGUACGGCCACAUUGGGACUGAGAUACGGCCCAGACUCCUACGGGAGGCAGCAGUGGGGAAUAUUGCACAAUGGGCGCAAGCCUGAUGCAGCGACGCCGCGUGGGGGAUGACGGCCUUCGGGUUGUAAACUCCUUUCGCUAGGGACGAAGCGUUUUUGUGACGGUACCUGGAGAAGAAGCACCGGCUAACUACGUG
rnacentral:rRNA from 1 species